CAUAAUAAUAAUAAUAUAUAUUUGAUCAUUUAACCCUUUCAGACCAAAAAAAAUACUCUGGUUUGGUCUGGUCUCUCUCCCUCUUAGAAAACCAGUCGAAGAAGAAGCGCCCAUCCUCAGCGAGAGUACCCCCGAGGCCCCGACGCUGACCAUCGCCUGAGAAGAAGCGCCCAUCCUCAGCAAGAGUACCCCCGAGGCCCCGACGCUGACCAUCGCCUGAGAAGAACGCCCAUCCUCGCCUGAGAGAAGAACCCAUACUCGCCGACCGCCACCUGAGAAGAAAAACCCAGAUGUGCAUGAGCGGGGUGCCUCUUUCGUCCUCCCUUUUAGCUCAGAAAUCCUUAGAAGGUUUAUGAGAAGAAACGCCCAAAAAAAAUACUCUGGUUUAUGCCAUAAUUUCAACCAAAUGCCCAGUCCGCUCAAUUGAAUGGGGCAAGACGAUCUCAUCGAGGUCUACACCAUCGUCGUCUAUACAUACUGCUAACAGCAAAUACAUAUUCCAUACAUAAAGGACAUAUGAAAUGAUUUAUGAGUUUUUGUUUGGGUAGGUUCUCUUUUCUACUUAUGUGUAAGCUUUCUUUUAUAGGGCUAGCCGAAACUGGUAGUGCCUGAUCAUGACGAUAAUACCAUCAGCCGGCCCCGUUAUGGAAUUUAUGAAUUUUACUUACCUUAAAACUCAAUUUUCAGGAUGA